UUUUAAAUGGCCGCAGUAUUUUGACUGUGCAAAGGUAGCAUAAUCAUUAGUUUUUUAAUUAAAAGCUUGUAUGAAAGGCUGGACGAGGUAAAAUCUGUCUCUAUUUAAAUUAAAAUAGAAUUUAACUUUUAAGUUAAAAGGCUUAAAUAUUAUUAAAAGACGAGAAGACCCUAUAGAUCUUUAUAAUUUAUUAAAUUAAAUUAAUUUAGAAAUAUUAAUGUUUUAUUUGAUUAAAUUAUUUUAUUGGGGUAAUAAAAAGAUUGAAUUAAUUCUUUUUUAUAAUAAACAUUAAUUUAUGAAUAUUAAUGAUCCAGUUUUACUGAUUAUAAGAUUAAGUUACCUUAGGGAUAACAGCGUAAUUUUUUUAGAGAGUUCAUAUCGAUAAAAAAGUUUGCGACCUCGAUGUUGGAUUAAAGAUUAUUUUAGGUGUAGAAGCUUAAUAAUUUUGGUCUGUUCGACCAUUAAAUCUUUACAUGAUCUGAGUUCAGACCGGCGUAAGCCAGGUCGGUUUCUAUCUUUAAUAAAAUAAAAUAUUUUAGUACGAAAGGACCAAAUAUUUGAUAUAUUUAUAUUUAAUUUAUUGAAUAUUA
rnacentral:rRNA from 1 species